AUUGAACGCUGGCGGCAGGCCUAACACAUGCAAGUCGAACGAGUGGCGGACGGGUGAGUAAUGUCUGGGAAACUGCCCGAUGGACGGGGAUAACUACUGGAAACGGUAGCUAAUAACGCAUACCAUCGGAUGUGCCCAGAUGGGCUUAGCUUGUAGGUUGGGUAACGGCUCACCUAGGCGACUAUCCCUAGCUGGUCUGAGAGGUUGACCAGCAACACUGGAACUGGGACACGGUCCAGAGUCCUACGGGAGGCAGCAGUGGGGAAUAUUGCACAAUGGGCGCAAGCCUGAUGCAGCCAUGCCGCGUGUAUGAAGAAGGCCUUCGGGUUGUAAAGUACUUUCAGCGGGGAGGCGUUACCCGCAGAAGAAGCACCGGCUAACUCCGUGCCAGCAGCCGCGGUAAUAC
rnacentral:rRNA from 1 species